rnacentral:rRNA from 1 species
UACGAAGGGUGCGAGCGUUAAUCGGAAUUACUGGGCGUAAAGCGUGCGUAGACGGUAGCGUAAGUCGGGUGUGAAAGCCCCGGGCUCAACCUGGGAAUUGCAUUCGAGACUGCUCUGCUAGGGUGCGGAAGAGGGGAGCGGAAUUUCCGGUGUAGCGGUGAAAUGCGUAGAUAUCGGAAGGAACACCAGUGGCGAAAGCGGCUCCCUGGUCCAGCACCGACGUCAGGCACCGAAAGCGUGGGGAGCAAACAGG